rnacentral:rRNA from 1 species
GAUGAACGCUGGCGGCAUGCCUAAUACAUGCAAGUCGAGCGAACAGACGAGGAUCUUGCUCCUCUGACGUUAGCGGCGGACGGGUGAGUAACACGUGGAUAACCUACCUAUAAGACUGGGAUAACUUCGGGAAACCGGAGCUAUUACCGGAUAAUAUAUUGUACCGCAUGGUCCCAUUGUUAAUGACGGUUUUGCUGUCCCUUAUAGAUGGAUCCGCGCCGCAUUAGCUAGUUGGUAAGGUAACGGCUUACCAAGGCAACGAUGCGUAGCCGACCUGAGAGGGUGAUCGGCCAAACUGGAACUGAGACACGGUACAGACUCCUACGGGAGGCAGCAGUAGGGAAUCUUCCGCAAUGGGCGAAAGCCUGACGGAGCACCGCCGCGUGAGUGAUGAAGGGCUUCGGAUCGUAAAACUCUGUUAUUAGGGAAGAACAAAUGUGUAAGUAACUAUGAACGUCUUGACGGUACCUAAUCAGAAAGCCACGGCUAACUACGUG